rnacentral:rRNA from 1 species
UACGGAGGGUGCAAGCGUUAAUCGGAAUUACUGGGCGUAAAGCGUGCGCAGGCGGUUUUGUAAGUCUGACGUGAAAUCCCCGGGCUUAACCUGGGAAUUGCGUUGGAGACUGCAAGGCUGGAGUCUGGCAGAGGGGGGUAGAAGUUCCACGUGUAGCAGUGAAAUGCGUAGAGAUGUGGAGGAACACCGAUGGCGAAGGCAGCCCCCUGGGUCAAGACUGACGCUCAU